rnacentral:rRNA from 1 species
UACGGAGGGUGCAAGCGUUAUCCGGAUUUACUGGGUUUAAAGGGCGCGUAGGCGGCUUGGCAAGUGGAAGGUGAAAUCCCUCGGCUUAACCGAGGAACUGCCCUCCAAACUGCUUCGCUUGAGACCGGGAGAGGUGAGUGGAAUUCCCAGUGUAGCGGUGAAAUGCGUAGAUAUUGGGAGGAACACCAGUGGCGAAGGCGGCUCACUGGACCGGUACUGACGCUGAGGCACGAAAGCGUGGGGAGCAAACAGG